GGGUUGUGAGGUUAAGCGACUAAGCGUACACGGUGGAUGCCCUGGCAGUCAGAGGCGAUGAAGGGCGUGCUAAUCUGCGAUAAGCGCCGGUAAGGUGAUAUGAACCGUUAUAACCGGCGAUACCCGAAUGGGGAAACCCAGUGUGACUCGUCACACUAUCAUUAACUGAAUCCAUAGGUUAAUGAGGCGAACCGGGGGAACUGAAACAUCUAAGUACCCCGAGGAAAAGAAAUCAACCGAGAUUCCCCCAGUAGCGGCGAGCGAACGGGGAGGAGCCCAGAGCCUGAAUCAGCAUGUGUGUUAGUGGAAGCGUCUGGAAAGGCGCGCGAUACAGGGUGACAGCCCCGUACACAAAAGCGCAUGUGCUGUGAGCUCGAUGAGUAGGGCGGGACACGUGGUAUCCUGUCUGAAUAUGGGGGGACCAUCCUCCAAGGCUAAAUACUCCUGACUGACCGAUAGUGAACCAGUACCGUGAGGGAAAGGCGAAAAGAACCCCGGCGAGGGGAGUGAAAAAGAACCUGAAACCGUGUACGUACAAGCAGUGGGAGCACCCUUUGGGGUGUGACUGCGUACCUUUUGUAUAAUGGGUCAGCGACUUAUAUUCUGUAGCAAGGUUAACCGUAUAGGGGAGCCGGAGGGAAACCGAGUCUUAAUUGGGCGUUAAGUUGCAGGGUAUAGACCCGAAACCCGGUGAUCUAGCCAUGGGCAGGUUGAAGGUUGGGUAACACUAACUGGAGGACCGAACCGACUAAUGUUGAAAAAUUAGCGGAUGACCUGUGGCUGGGGGUGAAAGGCCAAUCAAACCGGGAGAUAGCUGGUUCUCCCCGAAAGCUAUUUAGGUAGCGCCUCGUGAAUUCAUCUCCGGGGGUAGAGCACUGUUUCGGCUAGGGGGCCAUCCCGGCUUACCAACCCGAUGCAAACUGCGAAUACCGGAGAAUGUUAUCACGGGAGACACACGGCGGGUGCUAACGUCCGUCGUGAAGAGGGAAACAACCCAGACCGCCAGCUAAGGUCCCAAAGUCAUGGUUAAGUGGGAAACGAUGUGGGAAGGCCCAGACAGCCAGGAUGUUGGCUUAGAAGCAGCCAUCAUUUAAAGAAAGCGUAAUAGCUCACUGGUCGAGUCGGCCUGCGCGGAAGAUGUAACGGGGCUAAACCAUGCACCGAAGCUGCACCAGGGA
rnacentral:rRNA from 1 species